AACGGCCGUACCAUGCUGAAUAUACCGGUUCUCGUUAGAUCACCGAAGUCAAGCAUCAUUGGGCGCGGUCAGUACUUGGGUGGGUGACCACCUGGGAACACUGAGUGCCGUU